GCCCUCGUGGUGGAAUGGUAGACACGACAGACUCAAAAUCUGUUGGCGCAAGCCGUGUCGGUUCGAGUCCGACCGAGGGCACCA
rnacentral:tRNA from 2 species